GCGGCAGCUACACAUGCAGUCGAGCGGCAGCGACACAUUGACCCUUCGGGGGAUUUGUUGGGCGGCGCAGCGGCGGACGGGUGAGUAAUGCCUGGGAACAUGCCUUAGUGUGGGGGAUAACCAUUGGAAACGGUGGCUAAUACCGCAUAAUCUCUACGGAGCAAAGAGGGGGACCUUCGGGCCUCUCGCGCUAAGAUUGGCCCAGGUGGGAUUAGCUAGUAGGUGGGGUAACGGCUCACCUAGGCGACGAUCCCUAGCUGGUCUGAGAGGAUGAUCAGCCACACUGGAACUGAGACACGGUCCAGACUCCUACGGGAGGCAGCAGUGGGGAAUAUUGCACAAUGGGGGAAACCCUGAUGCAGCCAUGCCGCGUGUGUGAAGAAGGCCUUCGGGUUGUAAAGCACUUUCAGCAGUGAGGAAGGCGGUAUCGUUAAUAGCGGUAUCGUUUGACGUUAGCUGCAGAAGAAGCACCGGCUAACUCCGUGCCAGCAGCCGCGGUAAUACGGAGGGUGCGAGCGUUAAUCGGAAUUACUGGGCGUAAAGCGCAUGCAGGCGGCUUGUUAAGCCAGAUGUGAAAGCCCGGGGCUCAACCUCGGAAUCGCAUUUGGGAACUGGCAGGCUAGAGUCUUGUAGAGGGGGGUAGAAUUUCAGGUGUAGCGGUGAAAUGCGUAGAGAUCUGAAGGAAUACCGGUGGCGAAGGCGGCCCCUGGACAAAGACUGACGCUCAGAUGCGAAAGCGGUGGGGAGCAAACAGGAUUAGAUACCCUGUAGUCCACGCGUAACGAUGUUCUACUUUGAGUGUGUUCUUGAACACUGCUUUCGGAGCUAACCGCCGUUAAGUAGAACCGCC
rnacentral:rRNA from 1 species